CCGGACGGGAGGGGAUGGGAGGGAGGCUUCGCUUCACAAACUCCCCUGGGACAGCCGGGCCCGGUGGCCCCGCAGGACUCGUGGAAGGUCCGAGCUGGGACCGCAAGAUGUCUCGGCAGGGAGGGGCUCGGGACUGCAGUGCAGCGAAAGCACGGAGCAGCGCGGAAGAAGCGGCGGGAGCGGGACAGCGACGGCCCGGCUCCCACCAGGGCAGGGAGAGCUGAGCUCAAGAUCCCGGGCAGCCGAGCAGACGGGGAUCGGUCCCUCGUUUAGUGAGGUAGCUCUUAAUAAGGUGCCGGUUCAGAGGCUGCUCUCACGAGCAGAGGCUCACCCACAGAAAGGACAAGGCACUACAGGACUGGGCUCUUGCAGUGACAGGGAAUUCUCCUCGCAAUAAACAACAGCCUGCCUGUCCUCCUCCAUGAUCCAGAAGAAGAGCCACAGCAGCUCCCCAGCCACAUCUUUAUGCCUGUCCAAAUCUCCAGGUUUCCCCUUCCCUCUCCCCUGGGUUUGGCCAUGCUUCUGUUUUUCUCAAAUGCCCAUAAGUACCCAAUAGUUAGCCUCCUAGCAAUUUACGGGAAAAAAAUUCCAUAGAUACAAAAGAAAAAAUAACAACAAAACAACUCUCGACAAAAGGUUCUAUAAAAACCAGUCUGCUGAAAUACAACUUCCUUCCAAGACUAUUUCUUCUCUUCCCAGCUAGGCAUUUGUUGUCUGCUUUCCCUGUGCAAGUUCGCUGGUCACUUCUGCCUUCACAUGUGUUUGGUUUAAAUAUCAGACAACUUAAUUCCAUGGCUUUUGAGAUUUCUGGACAUAUAUUGCUAAGACAGGAAACUUUAAUUCUUCACAGCUGGUUUUCACAGUGUUCCUACUGUGAUCAGAGCCCCAAAUAAAAAGUAGGAAAAAAAAAUAUGUCUCAUAUAGAAGCUGUAUAGCCUUUCCAUACUGUUGAAUACUUCUUAAGAAAGAAAGCAUUCUGCAGUAUAGAGAGAAUAUGAAACAAUAUAUUUCCCAAAACUAAGUUUCUCAGAAUAAAUAGUAAUGAAAAAAUAGUGGGUGAUAGGACCUGGGGACAAAAAUUACUCCAUACAAAUAAAUUUGUUCAGGUGAUUGCUCUUCUGUUUGACUUUGACCACAACCUAAUCCCUUUUCUUUGCCUUGAUAUCUUACUCUCUCUCAUGUUUAGCUGCUGAGCCCUGCAGUGGAGGGAUGCACAAUAUAAGCACAACGGGGUCAGAUAAUUUUCUGGGUUUCUCACCAUUUUUCCAGUAAUAGGGUUUUCUUCCUUUCUAGUGUCAGAAUUGUGUCAACUGUGGCUGGGUCAGACUUGAAGCUUUAGGGUUUUGUUGUCUGUUUCCAUUGCUAAUACUCAGAAGGACCUGCUGGCUUUUUUCUGUGUAACUGAUGAUGUUUCAUUUUUAUUGCAUGUGCAUGGGCAGUGGAAUUCAUAAUUGGAUUUCUCCCACUGUCAGCCUGUAUCUGUAAAGAAUAUGGAGCCUGGACUCUAGCAGAAUGCAGAAUUAUGUGUACAUUAUUGCUUCACUCCUCUAGAGGGAACUCUUACUUUAAAUCUCUUCAUGCAUUUCUCUGUAAAUGCAGUGGCCUGACCAAAAUUAGGAAAGACCUAAACCUCUUUCGCCACAAUGAAACUCGGCAGAAACCAGCAGUGGUUAUCUUCAGGAUCAAUGAUUUUCAGUUUUCCUCCUUUCUUAGCAUGGCCUGGCACUUCCAUCUCCAAGAAACAUGAAGGACACAGUGUUAAGGAUGCUCCAGAGAGCUGGAUUUGGAUCUUUUCCAGUUCUGACCCUUUAUGUGCUACAUCAGUUCUUCAGGCUAAAAGGAAAAACUUGAAUUCUGCUGUUUGUACUGGCCUCAGACAACAGAAAGCUUUGUCCUGAGGAUUUGGUGUAAGAGAUUGCCUGGGGGACUGGGGAGAGGACUGGGGAGAAGUGCAGAGUACAGCAGCUAUACUGCGAACACUUCUAACCCACACCAUCCACUUGUGAAGCUGCCCUGUUAGCUGCAAAGGCUGAGGCCCAUUUUCAGACCUGAGUAGGUUUCAAGAUCCAUGGCUGGCAAAUAAAAAGAAGAGGACUUCUCUGUGGGAGGAACAACUUCUGCAUUCAGAGGAGUGUGGAGAAUAGUCUUGUGGAUAUCAUGAGGUCUCUGUUUUGGGCUGAGCUGCUCACAGUGGAUGAGUGCAGUCCUGUCACAGGAUUUCAGAAGAGUGACUGGAUAAUAGGGCAGGCUUCCUCCCACUAUCCGCUCCAGUUCUGUGCCUUUCCCAAAGACCAAUGUCAAUCUGCCAGCUUCUCUGAUUACCCUUAUAUGGAAAAGUAAUAAAUCACCACUUCUGUUCAUAUUCCUUUGGUGCAGUGCCACUCUUCCUACACUUCCCAGAUGUCUUUAUAGGGAACAAACCAUGAAAGAGUGCAGAUGCAAACCCACCAGUGCAACAUUGACUAGCUUACUUCUGGGAAAAGGGACAGCCAUGAAUAUAGAAGAAUUUUGGUCUGAUUCAGCAUCCUUAACAGCUGGAAAUUAUAAAAAACUAGAUGGAGAAAAGUGGACAGCUAAGUCUGUUGGCACUUCAUACCUUGUCUGCAUUUUGCAGAAUUCUACAGUCCACUAACUUGGCCCUCCGGCAUGAACUACUUCCAGAAUUCUCUGAGAAUUUUAUAACUUCGCUUAUGAGCAGUUUGCUGUCCCCUACUCGACUGGAUAGAUCAGGUGUGCUGGAACCAGAAAGGAGAAUAAUAAUAAAACCUCAGCAUUUUGUUCUUUUCAUGUCUUUCAAUAAGAAAAGGUUUGCUAUAGGCAGGAAUUUCUAAUUUACCAGUAUUGGUCCAUUAGGGAAUGGCAUCAAAACAAGUUAGCAAGAAAAAUAUGACAGGUCGAAGAAAAAUUGCCCAUGUUCCUUGUUGUUAGGCAGCUGUGAGAACUGAUUCAUGCCAUGGUGCUGCCAAGGGGUCUAGGUAUGUGAUAAAUUCAAUUGUAACAACAAAAGUAAUCACAGGAACUAAUCUGAUUCCAUGAACCCUUCAGUUGAAUAAAGUGAAUGAUCAAGGAGUGGAUAAGGGUUCUUCUAAGUGGCAUUUAUACCAUGCCUAACAUCUCAAAUUUUCUACCUUCUGAUUCCCAGCUUCUGUCUCAUUUGUUUCUGCUCUAUGGGUCCCUUGAAGGUCUUGUGAAUGUACCACAGCCUUAGUUCUCUCUUUGUGCUGAACCCAGCAUUCUUCUACUCUGCUUCAUUGCUCUGAGAUAAUUCAUGACAGAUAAAUAAAUGCCAGAGUACACUCUUCUCAGGGAACAAAAAUGGAUUCACAGAACAGAGGUGUACCAGAAAAUUGACAGUCCAGGGGGAAAAGCCGCUUUGACUACUUCCCUUCUACCUUAAGCUGGUUCCGUUCAUGCUGCCUUUACAAGCAAGGAUAGGACAUGGGCUCCAAACCAGUCCCUAGCUGGUGCAGAUUCAGUACUUUCUGUGUGGAAUAGCUUAAUUCACAACAUAUAUUGAGAGACCUUAUCCUCGGGGCUUUUCAAGCAAUUGUUUUGUUAUUUCUGCUGUAUUUGUUCUGGGACAGUCAUUCCUUUUCUGUGUCAAGAAGGCACUUUUUGCAGAUCACCAUGACAAUGCCAUACUGUGAGGUAAGUACACUUGAGGGGGAGCAAGAGGCAUUUGAGCAUGCAAGUCCUGCUGAGACAAAGCUGUAGGACUCUCAGGUAUGGGCAGUACAGUGUAAUGCCGUAUACACAAUUUAGAACAAACUGUGCUCUCAACAGCUUAUUUUCAGAGAGAAGUCCAGAAGCUACAUCAAAUGUAUGCACCAUGAUCAGUGAGGGCUUAAGCCCAGGAGUGAAAUAGGGACACAGAGAGCAGAGCAGUUGAGUAUACACAAAGAGCCACUAACAUACGUUUGCUUUUCUAUGUCAGAGGGCAGCUGGCCUGUCUUUUUGCAAUUGCAACGUCUCUGGAAAGCCUUGCAGAAAACAGGUGACCCAGUGAAGUACAUGUUUUGCAGGAGUACACACAGCAGUCACACAUGCCGGUUCUGGUUUGGUGCAAUUAACCAGUACUACCUGUGCUUGCCUGGAUGUGCUCUCCUGAAGUUUCCAGGUACCUCUAUUCACGGUCCUUUAAUGAGGACUGCUAAUUCUUAAGCAUGAUUGUCUGUGGUCCUUGCCUAGUCAGGAGAGAAACAGAGGGGGGAAAGUCAUCUGUUUGGGCAACCCCAGAUGCUACUUGCAGAGUGGGAGAAAUUCAUGCUGUCUGAAUUUAUGUUCUUCUGACACAACAUCCUAUCUGUCAUCAGAGCACCUUCCUUCUCUAGCAUAGGGGAAGAGGAAAUCAGAAGCACAGAAUAAUCUGUGAAACCUAAGGAAAUAGCAAGAUGCUGUAUUAUGAAUGCCAGUUUAUCAUGUGGCCUGCUACUAGGCUGCUGUACAUUAUAUUAUCCAUACACCUUCACAGGGCCCAGCAGUUCUGCCCAGUGGAAUUAGAGGGGAAGAGGGCAUCUCUCUCAUGAUAGCAUCUGUUACUUGGCACUAAGGAUCAGUUUAAUGUACAGCCUUUGAGUUGUAAUGAUUGGUCUUCCAGAAAUACAGUUCCAUUCCCUCAGGAGCAAUAUUCCCUCAGCAUGGAACAAAUGAGAAAACUUUUCAUGAGCUGAGAAACCAUUAAGCCAAAACCCACCAAGUGUGAAGACAUUCCUAAACUGCUAAUUAGCCUCUGUCUGUCUCAUCACUCUCUUGAAAUCUGAGAUCCUAUUAAUACUCGUUUACCAAGAAAGAUACUUGGGCUGUGUCUACACUGUAAGACAGUGACUCUCACAGGGAAUCUUGGUACACUGAAUUUCUUUGUAGGACCAAGAGAGAGAAAACCAGCAAAGAUCCAUUGAAAAACCUUUGCUUAAAAUCUACCUCGCUCAACAUGUUAACAAAUGAACAUUCAAGGACUGUGUACCUUGGCCUUCAGUAUAAACAGUUUAGCAAUAGAUAGUAUCAUUUAACAUACUUUGUACCUGCAUACAGUUGAUGUAUACACUAGAUACAAAAUAAUCACUUCAUGGUUUAUCCAGAAGCCUUCAUUUUUUAAACUGAAAUCCUCACUGUCACUACUGAGAAUUUUGAAUUUCUGUUUGAGCAAAAAUUACGUAACUUGCUGGAACAGAAAAUCGAAGUUACUAUUUGUGUAUCUAUUCUCUGGGAAACCUCAGGUUUUCAACAAAGAAAAGAAAAAAAUAUCCAAGGACUCACCUACCACCCUCUUCUAAGCCCAAUGAGCAGAGAAAAUUUACACACAAUUGAUUUUAACCAACUCCUUAGGGUAAACCUAAGAACCAAGACAUCAAAUAAACCUUGUUUAAGUGUACUAGAAUUGUUCUAAUGUGAAAGGUGAAUAAUAUGUAAAUAGGACUAUCAGCUAGAAUAUAUGAUAAUGUCUAGAUCAGGCUAGAGUUUUACCAGCUGGUAGUCCUUCUCUGACAUUGAUAAGACCAAGCACCUGCAGAAAAAAGCAAAUGUAGCCAAGAUUCUACAAGAUGAUUUCCCAUCCUCUAGUCAUAUGAUGCCCAGAUAUUUCCAGUACUACAGGCAGUAUUGCUUUACAUGACAGGCCUAGAUAGACUUUUCAUCAGAAGUGAUAUCUGAUCAUUGCUGAGCCACAUAGUCUUCUGGCAUCUAAAAUUGUUUUGUUAAGGUGUCCCACCUUUAAACUACAUUUUUUGUGGAAUACAUCCUGUAUUUUGUCUUCAGAUUUUGGUUAAAUCAACGAUGCAUUGCUGUCACCAUCUGGACUGUAGCUGUAAAGAGGGAAAGUUGCCACAAGUAUCCUCAGCACACCAGGGUACAUUCCAGACCGCUGCUUGGUGAACCUGCUACAUUUGUUGGCCACAUGGCAUAGAUAUUGUGUAUUGUGGAAAGUAGGAUCAGAAUAAUAUAUCUGGGGUUUUUUUGAGAGUGUGCUGAAACAUUUUCGAGACAAGAGCUCCUCACAUAGCAGCAGCAUGGCUGGGAAUGACACUGUGAAAAGGCACUCAUAAAGAACUUGCAGAACCUUUUCUCUACCCCCUAGGACUGCUGUGGCAGUCUUGAGACCCAAGGUCUCACUGCAGAACUGUUGACCUGAAACAGUGCAGCAAGGACUGGAAAGAAAUAGGAAGAAGACCAAAGCACCUGCCCAAGGAUUAAGGCUAAAUUUCGUUCAGAAAUUACAUCAAAACACUGUAGAUAUGCUUUUCUGCUCUCCUCAACACUGCAGGGUUCAGACUUUCAGAUCCUGUGUUAAUGACUCCAGGAAAUCAUGUAGUCACCCAGAGUGAAAAAAAUGGGUAAAACAGGUCUGUCAAACAAGGGUGUUUCCCACUCUGUUCCCUUCUCUUUCCCAAGACUCAACUUUCUCUUGAAAGUAAGCUGGUUUUUACCAUUAUACCUUUAUACAGAGAUCCCAGGUUUUGACAUACUUGGUUGGAUCUGAAGUGACUGCAAAAUUCUUUUCUUCUCUUAAGAACAUUUGAAGAGCCAGACAAGAAAGAGGCUAAUGAAUUAAUGUUUAUGAGCUCUAAGAAACCUGCUUACACUUUCUGAACCAUCCAUGGUCUGUGUAGAUGGAGUAGUACUGCAGGCUGCUGAUCUCAGAGACUUCAAGCCUUGUUUUCCCCUGGAAGCAAAGGAAGGUUUCAUUUCCAUGUGAGAAGAGAUUAUCAUGGGCGCUUUGACAGCUUGGCAGCAGUGGAGAAUUUAAGAAUCAGUGUAACCAUGCCUGGCUUCAGAGCAAGACUCAGCAAGGAUCUGGAAGGAGUAAACCACCUGAGACAUGUGGUUAGUGCACCACACAGAGCAGUGAGCUGGAGCUAUGUGAGAGCAUCCCUGAGAUGGCUCCCAUUGCCCAUGCCUGCCUGCAAGAAGGGCAAGGGAAGCAGUGGAGUUUGCUUGGGAUUCUCUUGGUCUCAUACCUUCCCAGAUGAUAAGUGAGGUACUGUGUGUUGUGCAUGCCUUUCUCUGAGGUUAUUUUUUCUGCUAGUUGAUUUGUUUUAAUUUUUAUUGGGUGCUGUUGACAUCACUGCAAUUAUGCGGUUUGUUCUGGUGUCCCAGAAAUAUGGGAGAAAGAAAUGCCAAGAAAUUCUGGCAUUAUUUGUGAGAAGUCAUCCAGAGCCAAUAUUUAACCUAGUACUGAGCAGAUCAUGACCUGACAUUAUAUGCACUCAGUUUGGAAACACUGCAGAAGAGUAUCAAAGACAAGUAAGUUUGAGCUGUGCUUUAAUUUUAAAUCUGGGAUCUUGUGGCAGGUGCUAGAAAAGCAUUCAGAAUUCCACAAUGUCAAUGAAAAUAUUUUUCCUAGUCUCAGUGGAGUUUUGAUUGUGUCUCUCACUGAAGGCAUGGUUGGCCCUUUCACCAGAAGCGCAGGACUGGCAGCCCCUUCCUUACAAACAGUUACCCAUGGGAAAGAUUUCUAAUCCAAAAGAUUAGAAGUGACUCCAAAGGUGGUUUUUUAAUUUUUCUAAUUUUUCAGGCUAUGGGAGCAAAAAUAACCUCAAAAGCUCCUGAAUGAAGCCUGCCAGAGGAAAAAAACGAGGGCUGACCAAAGCCUGAGGACCUGAGGCAAGCAAAACUUCAGAAGUAUUUUUUUUUUCCCAAUGUUUCUUUUGAAAAAGUGUGAAUAUUCUUAGCAUCUUUUUGACCUGUUCUAGCACAGGAAUCUGUUCCUACUGCUCCUAAUUUCUGUAUUUGGAGUGUCCUUCUUUCACUAUUUAGAGUUUAUUCCAGGUUUACAGCUAAUUGUGGGUAAAAAAGCCUUUGGUAGGUGGAACAGUAUGAAACAUGCCCUCACUUCCUGGCUCUUUUGAGGACAGUAGUGACCCAUGGCCAGACAGGCUGUCUUACUUCUCAGUGAAUGGUUCUACAUGGUGGGGUGAUGCACAGCAGCAGGUACUCUCCAGUGUCAUUGGCAAGAAGUGGGACUGGUGAUAUUGGGUCACUUCCUACAGGAAGGGCCUACAAUGAAGAACAUGGUGUUUAUCUGACAUGAAUGGUUGGGAGAUUAUGUCAUUGAAAAUGCACUGCACCCCCACUAACCCCCAGGUGUUAACCUGCUACAUCCCAAGUGGUCCCCAUUUAGCAUCUGCAUUUCUGAUGUGAAUGCAUUGUUCUGUCUGAGUUAACUUGAACUGUUUUAGGGAAGCAUUCUGAGUGUUGCUGAGCAGAGAUAGCACCACACACGGAUAUAAAAGCAUUGUUAAGACAAGCUUUAUAUGGGAUGUUCUGCCAAAUGGUUCCCUUCCCUUCCUCUUCUCAUUUCCUUGUCCUCCUUCAGCCACUGGAGAAUGCUAAUCCCUUUAUUCGCUUAUACGUAAACUGGUGACUUUCCAGACCUGCCACAAAAGACAUUUGACUAGAUGACUUUUCUGGAAAGAUGCAGCAGGAGGAGAUGGAAAUGUCUUUCCUGAGGAUUACUGCUAUGUUUGUAUUGACAGUCAGAAUAUGGAGAACUUUGCACUGACAGCUGUAAAUAAAAAGGAUAAUACAACAGCUAGUUUCAUUCUUCCCUCUUACAUAAACUCUUUUUUCAAUAUCUGGUUUUUGACCUUUAGAAACAACACAUGCACAAUGUCUUGUUCAUCCCAAGCAGCAAGCUUUGACAUUUUGUUCUUAAUACACAAAAGAGCAGGCACACAACUAUAUCUGAAUGGAGAAAGUAUGGAGACAUCUAUGGAGAUCAAAGCCAUUGCUGGUUCCAAAAAUUUCUCAGAAUUAAAUAUGAAAAUUAAAAUCUAGGCAUUAGAAACCCGAGUCAGGAUUUCCUAAUCUGACAGGUACACUGGCUAAAAUCCUUUUUCUUCCCUCUUUCCUUCCAGCCAAGAAAAUCUCUGUCUGUCCACCCACCGAUUGACUGCUGGACAGUCUAUUUGUGCUCUAUUCCAGAGACAGUGGCAGGGUAAGCAGGGAUCAUCACCUUUUCUGAUGUGGCUGGGCAUUGCAGAGCAACAUGCAAGAGUAUUGGGGCCCAGGAUUAAUUCUAAAGGCUCACAGGAGACAUCUGAAUUCUUGUCCCUCCAUCAAAAACUAUUUCUCUGCUACACCUAAGAACACUUUUAGUGUAUUGAGGCUGCUAUGAUGCUGAAAGAAUAGUUAUACCAUGCUGUUUUUAGAAGAUGUGGUCCUAAGCCAUGUCUUGUACAAAUGUGAGUCCUUCUAGUCCCCUAACCCAGACACUGACACAGGGGAUAAGCAAUGUCCUUAGAGCUCCCCCUUUCCAAGCAUUCCAGUCUGCAGAUUGGGCCUUGCCUUGCCUUUCCGCACCCUUCCACACCUUUCCGCACCUUUCCUUUCCGCACCUUUCUGCACCUUCCCUUCCCGCACCUUCAUCCUCUUCAACCAUCCAUUUUCCAUAGCACAGCUUCCCUCUGCUUUCACAAGGAAUGAAGCUGCUCUUGUCAAAGAGCAGUCAUCUUUCACCAAGGAAGAUUUCAGGAGGCAAAGUUUCCCAGGUCAACUGAGAACUGCUCUAAUUAAUUACCUCUAAUAUGAUCCCACAACUGUCCUUAAUUCCAGCAAUCCCCCUCCAUUGCCUGUGUGGAGCCUUGCUGUGUGUGAUGGAGCAAACUGUUCUGGUGACAACCAUUCUUCAGCUUAGCUGCACUCAUAACAAAUGGUUGAAAGUGGUUUUUCAUGGUUACUUCCUUAAGCAAUAGUGGUGGUAAGGGACUGGUGCUUUCCUCCUGCACCCACAGGGUCAGAACAUCUCUGCUUUGGUAAAAUGUGGAAGCAUAGUUCUGACACCUGCGAGGAGAGAGGAGAAAAGGGAAUGAGCCUUUCAAAAUAAGGACAGUUCUUCAACUGUUCUUAAAAAGGCCUGAAACUUGAAAACCACAAACUGCAGGUGAAAAGCUACUUCUUUUAUGAUGUGGGAUACUUUCUUCCACACAGUGAUUCCUUCAUGUCUUAACACAUGAGUUUUGCAUUUCCCAAAAUGAAAUGGGAAAGAACAGUGGAAAAAUCAUACAUUGCCUUUUUUCACUAGUGUCUCACUCCAUCUUUUCAGCCCAGAAUUUAAAGAUAGGCUCUGGCCUUCACUUAAAAGGUAUACAGCAGAUGGUUUCACCAAAAGGAAAGUAGUGACUUCAGAUUCAGUUUGAGAAUUUUAUUAAAACCAUAGGUUUCUGUUCUAUACAAAACUGAGGAGAUUUCUAAAAAAAAAAAAAAAAAAAUCGUAUUAACGACAUAGAAAACAAUGUGUAAGUGGCUUGUUGAUAAAAAUCUCUGAAAGCUAUAUACAUGAUUAAUACUACACAACUGUAUUAAUGUAGAGACUGUUAGUAACUUUAGCAAUAUAUACAAACUACCUUUACACUCAUAAAUAUCUUAUUUACAGCUAAUAAAUAACACCCAAAGCUAAAUCAUGUUUCCUUAUGAAAAGAACCUUCACUAUUUUGUAUCCAAAUUCUAAAUGUGUUUGUAUUUGAUCCUGUAUUAAGGGCACAGCUGUCCAGAUACUUUGCUUCUGAAGAAUUGAACUUUUAAGAGAAAAUUGCAACAAAAUAUGGAAUCUAUAGGGAAUAAAUCACUGUAUUUAUUUUUAGAGGUCUCAGAUGCAGUGGCUCAAUACAAAACCCCACCCUCAGUGACUCAUCACAUCUCUGCUGUAGUUUAAUCAAACAUGAAAUCAAAUGUGAGCAAAUUCAGAGUUAUUAAUAUUCCAACAUAUUGCACUGUUUAAGACUUUUAUCCCCAAAUAUACUAGCAGCUACAGUUGGAAAUAGGAAACAAAUUGUGCACAUAAACACAUAGGUUUUUUUUUUGCUUUUAAGAUGGGAUGAUAUUGGAGAAAUCACCAUCUCCAUGCUGUCUUGCACAUCCAGGAAAAGACAAUACCCAGCAUCAAUAGCUAACAUUACACGUCUCCAAAUGUCUACCUUCAAGCCCUUGUACCUCCUAGCAUUUUGUUUACCCUCUAGAAAGUUAAAAGAGGGUAUUGCACCUUUCAGCACACUAGAAAAAUUAUAUGUUACUUAAAAAUGGGGAAGCAGACUGCCUUCAAUAUACCUACUUUUUUAAACUUGCAGCGUGGCUAAUUUGAGUGUUUUUCAGAGCACUCCUUGUGGAGCACACAACCAGGCUGCUUUUAAUUGGCUCAGCUCCUGCUUCCUGCUGAAUUCCAUCUCAUGGCAGAAAACUAAGCAGCUCCUAGCACUGUACCACAGCCAAGAAACAAACUGGUGGAUCACUGGCAGUCACAAUUCCAGUACAGGGAAGUAUGAGCAUCCUUAUCAGCUAUCAAGUGGAUUCACUCGCACUGAAAACUGCAUACAGCAGCCACUCAGUUGCAUGACUGACACUUGGUGUCAAAGAGCAGAGAAACUGUGACAGUUUUGGCAUACAUGACGCAAGCAAGCAGGGAGAGGGUGGAGAGUGGGGGAAGUAUCUGUUUCCUGCAUUUUCUGGUAUCUCAAUUCCUCUGCAGCUCCAUUUUCACAGUGUUGAAGGCUAGACAGUUUCACUUGCAAUAACUGAAAGCACAGAUAAAAUAUUAAAUGUCUGCAUAAGACACUGGCAUUGCUACCUUCUCCUACAGCUGUUAUUUAUUCCAGGGUAAGCGACAUAGAUAUAUAGCUUAACAGAUCAUACCUAUUCCUAAGCAGCACUGGCAUCUACCCCCAAUUAAAUACAUUCAUAACCACAAACUAAAAAAAUUCAUCCCCAUAUUAAGUCAGUCCCUGACACCUUCUAGUAUUACACACAGCAAAGGUGGGGUUUUUUUUCACAUAGGAAACCUACUUACUUGCUAAACACACACUUGAAAAUUAUGAACUCUCUCCACUGAACUGCCUGAAAAUUCAGUUAGCCAAGACAAAAAAAAA